rnacentral:rRNA from 1 species
AGAGUUUGAUCCUGGCUCAGAUUGAACGCUGGCGGCAUGCCUUACACAUGCAAGUCGAACGGCAGCACGGAGCUUGCUCUGGUGGCGAGUGGCGAACGGGUGAGUAAUAUAUCGGAACGUACCCUAGAGUGGGGGAUAACGUAGCGAAAGUUACGCUAAUACCGCAUACGAUCUAAGGAUGAAAGUGGGGGAUCGCAAGACCUCAUGCUCGUGGAGCGGCCGAUAUCUGAUUAGCUAGUUGGUAGGGUAAAAGCCUACCAAGGCAUCGAUCAGUAGCUGGUCUGAGAGGACGACCAGCCACACUGGAACUGAGACACGGUCCAGACUCCUACGGGAGGCAGCAGUGGGGAAUUUUGGACAAUGGGCGAAAGCCUGAUCCAGCAAUGCCGCGUGAGUGAAGAAGGCCUUCGGGCUGUAAAGCUCUUUUGUCAGGGAAGAAACGGUGAGAGCUAAUAUCUUUUGCUAAUGACGGUACCUGAAGAAUAAGCACCGGCUAACUACGUGCCAGCAGCCGCGGUAAUACGUAGGGUGCAAGCGUUAAUCGGAAUUACUGGGCGUAAAGCGUGCGCAGGCGGUUUUGUAAGUCUGAUGUGAAAUCCCCGGGCUCAACCUGGGAAUUGCAUUGGAGACUGCAAGGCUAGAAUCUGGCAGAGGGGGGUAGAAUUCCACGUGUAGCAGUGAAAUGCGUAGAUAUGUGGAGGAACACCGAUGGCGAAGGCAGCCCCCUGGGUCAAGAUUGACGCUCAUGCACGAAAGCGUGGGGAGCAAACAGGAUUAGAUACCCUGGUAGUCCACGCCCUAAACGAUGUCUACUAGUUGUCGGGUCUUAAUUGACUUGGUAACGCAGCUAACGCGUGAAGUAGACCGCCUGGGGAGUACGGUCGCAAGAUUAAAACUCAAAGGAAUUAACGGGGACCCGCACAGCGGUGGAUGAUGUGGAUUAAUUCGAUGCAACGCGAAAACCUUACCUACCCUUGACAUGGG